UCCACUCCCUUGAAUCUAACAAAGCCAUACUUCCGACCACUUCUGUUUUUUUUCUUCGCAAUGAAGACCUCUCUCACAUCCUCCCAUUUCUUAAAAUUCAAACCACAGAUCCUUCUCACCCAUCUCCUUUGGAAAUCUUGUGAAAUAGAAGGAGCGAACGUCCGGUGCAUCCCUCCAAUUUGUCCUUCCGUGUUCCUGUAGUUGUGCCGCCAAUGUCACCGCUGAUUGUUGGCCAUACCUAUUCU
rnacentral:misc_RNA from 1 species